rnacentral:rRNA from 1 species
UUCAGUGACGAUAGCGAAGAGGUCACACCCGUUCCCAUACCGAACACGGAAGUUAAGCUCUUCAGCGCUGAUGGUAGUUGGAGGUUUCCUCCUGUGAGGGUAAGACGUCGCUGAUC